GGGAGGGAGAGAGAGAGGUCGAGAGGGAGAGAGAGGGAGGGAGAGAGAGAGGUCGAGGGAGAGAGAGGGAGGGAGAGAGAGAGGUCGAGGGAGAGAGAGGGAGGGAGAGAGAGAGGUCGAGAGAGAGGGGUCGAGAGAGAGAGAGGGAGAGAGAGAGGUCGAGAGAGAGAGAGAGGGAGGUCGAGAGAGAGAGAGAGAGAGGGAGGUCGAGAGAGAGAGAGAGGUCGAGAGAGAGAGAGAGAGGUCGAGAGAGAGAGAGGGAGGUCGAGAGAGAGAGAGGUCGAGAGAGAGAGGAGGUCGAGAGAGAGAGAGAGAGGUCGAGAGAGGAGGUCGAGAGAGAGAGAGAGAGGUCGAGAGAGAGAGAGAGCGGUCGAGAGAGAGAGAGAGAGGUCGAGAGAGAGAGAGCGGUCGAGAGAGAGAGAGUGGUCGAGAGAGAGAGAGAGAGAGAGAGAGAGAGGUCGAGAGAGAGAGGUCGAGAGAGAGAGGUCGAGAGAGAGAGGUCGAGAGAGAGAGAGAGAGAGAGGUCGAAAGAGAGAGAGGUCGAGAGAGAGAGGUCGAGAGAGAGAGAGAGAGAGAGAGAGAGAGAGGUCGAGAGAGAGAGAGAGAGAGGUCGAGAGAGAGAGAGUUGAGGAGAGAGAGAGAGAGGUUGAGUGAGAGAGAGAGAGAGGUUGAGAGAGAGAGAGAGAGGUUGAGAGAGAGGUCGAGAGAGAGAGAGGUCGAGAGAGAGAGAGGUCGAGAGAGAGAGAGAGAGAGGUCGAGAGAGGUCGAGAGAGGUCGAGAGAGAGG
ensembl:lncRNA